AGGGUCGACCAGGAAGCACUUCCUUGACUCUGUCCUAAAGCCUCUGGAGAGCCCUUAAAUUUGUGGUCCUUGAAGCUAUUGUAAAGGUAUUAUUCAGGAACAAGAUGGGCAAAACAUGAAUAGGACAAGCUUUCUGCUCUCCAGGGACUCCCUUGAAGAUGUGUCACAACCCCAAGCCAGUAUGGUCGGGGUUGGCUUCCUUUUUCAUUGCUGCUGAGGAAGCUGAGAUGCAGGCUCCAAGCAAGAAGUCAGGAGACUGGGGUGCUGGGCAGGUGUUUGAUCUCAAAAAGAAGUCAUUGAAGUAGCAUGUGGUCAAGCCUGUGCCAGGUUAGGAGGUGCUGGGGUGAAGCUUGCCCUGCCUUUACCCUCUAGUGUGUGGCUGUUUAUCCUGUCAAGAGGUAACGUGUCUCCUACAGCUUCCCAGAAGGCAAGGUGGUGUGUGCGCCUGUGUUUUGUAGCUGUCAGAAAUAGCUGGACCAUUCAAGUGUAUGUGAAACCAGCUCUGUAAGCUGUGAAAUGGAGCAUCAUUCUUUUUUUUUCUGCAAUGGCAUAAACAUCGCCACUAAUUCCUAAAGAUACAAUGAAAACAGAAAUGUAUUAAGAGUAUUUUGGAAUGACUCUGAGCUGAUGACAACCCUUCACUAGCUCACAUCAUAGGGGGACUCACUCACCUCUUCUUCAUCCAAGGAAUCCCACCUCCUGCUUCCUGGGUGGAGUUUCCUGGGUGAACCCCAGGAGGAGGGAAUCUCCACCGAGGUGGUGAUGUUUGAGCUGGUUCUUAGAAAACAGGGGCAAUGAUGGGGCAGAAGAUAUUCAACAGAGGAACUGGGGCUGGAGAUAAAUUGAGGAGCAAUGAGAAGUUUGCUGCGAGGGCACGUGAGCUGGGAGGUGGGAGGUGAAGCCCGAGCAGGAUUGGAGUUAGGCUGAUGGUCUAUACCACCUUCUCACUGAGUGAUUUUUACAUCUUGUUUUCAACAAAUCAGCAAAGACACUUUAAAUGCUGUCAUGAGCUGGCUGCAAGUGUUCAAGUGGUGCCACCAAUGCUCUUGGUUGUGCCCGGAUCGCGUGCUCCAGAGCAGAGCUCCUGUGCAGCCUGUUACCAUGCCCCAUGCCCUCCACCUCAGGAGGCUGGGCUCGGUGUUCCUCCUGCUGGCACCUGCUUCCCCCGGGCACAGGCAUGGCUAAUUUCACUCAGGUCUGGGCCGGCUUCCUUCCCGAACCUCUUACUGUUAAACAUGCUCUCCUCAUUCUGUCUCCCCUAUCAUGCCUGUUACCCCGUGUGACACUUGUCAUUCAUUUGUUUCAUUUUUAUAAUGUGAACUCUGUGGUGGCUUUGCUCAGUCCUGUCUCCGCUGUGCUCAGAAUGUGGCCUGACACUUAGCAGAGGCUCUGUGUUGAUUGUUGCUAUAGAAUGACACUGUUCUCUGAGUUCUUCCACAUGUAUUACUUUGUUUGAUUCUCAUUCCUUUUCUGAUUUGUGGAUGUAAAAAUUAUCUAAAAGACGAUAAAAGAAUUACCCACGAUAGUUAUUGCACAAGGAGGGAGAGGGACACGCAACCCCACGCUCUCCCCGCUACAGCGUUAACCUUCAGGAUGACACCACCCUCGACACUCACUUCAUGAUGGCCUGCACAUCUGACCUUGUGCAGGAGCCCGCAGCGUGGGAUUGAGCAGCCUCCUGCUCCAACCAGCUGACUGCCCCUCAGAGGGGACUGAGGUGACAAAACAGGAUCCCAUCAUUUGGUAAACAGGACUCAAGCAUGAAGUCUGAGGGGUGUGGGGAGGUGCAGGGUGGGUAGCAAAUGGCUGUGAAAAGCAAGAGACUUUCCACGGGCAAAGCUAAGUCUAGAUGUACCCAGAUUAGCGACUUUUCCUUAAAAGGUUUUUCCAGCCAGGAGCAAGGGACUGGGUGAAUCAUCCCUAAGACGGGUGACAGGAGGCAGGAAUAAAGCAUGAAUAAAGCAUCAGGAAGGGACUAGGAUUUAAAACUGGCCCCUCAAUGCUUCUACACUGCUGGUGAGAAUGUAAGUUAGUUCAGCCACUGUGGAAAGCUGUCUGGAGAGUUCUCAAAUAACUUAAACUAGAACUACCAUUUGACCUAGCAAUCCCAUUUACUGGGUAUAUGCCCAAAGGAAUACAAAAUAUUCUACCAUAAAGACACACACAGGCAUAUAUUCAUCACAGCACUGUUCACAAUAGCAAAGACCUAGAUGCCCAUCGAUGGUGGAUUGGAUAAAGAAAAUGUGGUGCAUAUACACCAUGGAAUACUGUGCAGCCACAGAAACGAAUGAAAUCAUGUCCAUUACAGCAACAUGGAUAGAGCUGGAGGCCAUUAUCCUAAACAAAUUAAUGCAGGAACAGAAAACUAAAUACUGCAUGUUCUUACUUAUAAGUGGGGGCUCAACAUUGAGUAGACAUGGACAUAAAGAUGGGAGCAGAGGACACUGGGGACUCCUGGUGGGGGGAGGAUGGGAGGAGGGUGAAGACAGAAAAACUACCUAUUGGGUAUUACGCUGAUUACCUGGGUGACAAAAUUAUUUGUAUACCAAAACCCCAUGAUAUGCAAUUUACUCAUGUAACAAACCUGCACACCUACCCCUUGAACCUAAAAUAAAAGUUGGAAAUAAAAAAAAAACUGGCUCCUCUAUCUGGGCUCCUCUCCCUUCUUAAGUCCUAGGAGAGUUGGCCAACGAGGCCCUGAGUCCAGACACGCCCCACCUUGGCCCAGUGUCCACCUGCACCUGCUCACAUUCCCAUGUGCCACCAUUCCUUGAUGCAGCUCACUCUCUAGACCAGUGGCUCCCAGCCACUGGGGUGCAUGAGAGUCUCCUGAGGAGCCGAGGUACAUGUGUGCUCAAGUCAGCAUCCAGACCCACUGGGUCCAGUCUCCAGGCUGGCCCAGUUUGAGAGGUGGGUUUAGAGAGUUUCUCUGCAAUAGCACUGGGAAUACCUACUGCUGAUGGAGCACCUAGAUGGAUGCUUAGACUCAGAGGUGACUCGGAGGGCUUCACAGACAUAAUCAUAAAGAUCCUUUGAACACUGAGGCUCAUGAAGGUCAAGUCACUCUCCCAAAGUCACUCAGCUGAGAAUAGCACUAGGAUAAGAACCCCUUAUUUUAUUUUAUUUUUUGAGACGGAGUCUCGUUCUGUCAUCCAGGCUGGAGUGCAGUAGCGCAAUCGGCUCACUGCAACCUCCACCUCCCAAGUUCAAGCAAUUCUCCUGCCUCAGCCUCCCGAGUAGCUGGGAUUACAGGCAUGUGCCACCAUGCCUGGCUACUUUUUUUGUAUUUUUAGUAGAGACGGGGUUUCACUAUGUUGGCCAGGCUGGUCUCGAACUUCUGACCUCGUGAUCCACCCGCCUUGGCCUCCCAGAGUGCUGGGAUUACAGGUGCAUGCCACCAUGCCCGGCUACUUUUUUGUAUUUUUGGUAGAGAUGGGGUUUCACCAUACUGGCCAGGCUGGUCUCGAACUCCUGACCUCAUGAUCGGCCCACCUCAGCCUCCCAAAGUGCUAGGAUUACAGGCAUGAGCCACCGCGCCAGGCAAGAACCCCUUAUUGACCCCUUAGACCUUCUCUCAACCAUCACACCAGCUUGCCAUGGAGCCCAGGCUUAAUUUACCUUGGUAUCCCAGCACCCCCAAGCCCAGAGAAGCACGGGGCUUGGUAUAUGGUGGGUGUUUGCUAUAGACCAAAUGUUUGUCUUCAAGUUCAGGUGUUGAAGCCUGAUCCCCAGUGGGAUGAUACCUGGAGGUGGGACCUUUGGGAGGUGCUCGGGUCAUGACAGUGGAGCCCUCACAAAUAAGAUUAGUACUAUCAUAAAAGAGACACUAAAGAGCUGCCUUGCCCCUUCCUUCAGGUGAGGACACAGCGAGGAGUAGGCUGUCUAUGAACCAGGAAGUGGGCCCUCACCAGACACAGAAUCUGCCAGCACCUCAAUUUGGACUUCCCAGACUCCAGAACUGCAAGAAAUUAAUUUCUAUUGCUCACAAGCCACCCAGUCUAUGGUAUUCUGUUACAGCAGCUGGAGCAAACUGAGACAGUACUUGACAGUGAUUUUCAUGAAGGUUCUCCCUUGCUCAUUUUUAAGCCCACUGGUUCAGACAGAAGCCUCUGGGAGAGCCCUCCAGAGUCCACCUUGAAGGCUUCAUUCCUUCUACCCAGAGCAUCUCCGUGGAGAGGAAGAAAAAGCAUCAAUGAAAUGAGGUGCCCCAGCGGUUCUGGGGAGCAAUUCCUCUCUUCAUAUGACCAUUUGGGAAACCCCCAGUGAGAUGGAGUGUGCUUUUAAGCCAUGAAAACCAUGCACAUCAGCCCCACCACAGAGGUGAGCAGAAAUGUAGAAUAUGGUGUCUCUUUCUCCUCCUUUUAUUUUCAGAGAAAUAAUUAGGGAUUCUGUGGUAGGCAGCCUCUAAGAUGGGCCCCAAUGACCCCCACUCUCCCUGUAUCCUCACCCUCAUGUCAUCCUUUCCCUGUCGGUGUGGACCAGUCUAAGUAACUUGCUUCUAUGACUAGAAUAGGGCAGAAGUAAUGAGAUGUCACAUCUUCAUAGGUUAUAAAAAGCACUGUGGCUUCCAUUUUGGGUCCUCUGUCCUACUCUCUCCAGAGUCACACGACCCCAGGGUAACCAGCCACAUGUCACAAGGCAGCCUGUGGAGACGCCUAGGUGGGGAGGGACAGAACCACAUGAGUGAGCUUGGAAACAGAUGCCCCCAUGCCAGUCAACCUUCAGAUAAGACCAAAGCCUCAGGUGACAGCUUGACUGCAGCCUCAUGAGCAGCCUUGAGUUACAAGCAUUCAGCUAAGCCGUGUCCAUAUUCCUGACUCACAGAAAGUGUGAGAUAACACACAUUUGUUUUAAGCUGCCACGUUUUAGGGUGACAUGUUACACAGCAAUAGAUAACUAAUACAGCUUCUUAGCCUGGCAAGAAGCAGGAAGAGUUAAGGAAUUAAGACAGGGUGAUUCUGGUGAAGAUGAGAAAGAUGCAGAUGUCAUGGGUGAAUGUCUAAUACCUGAGAAAUUCAGAAAAGGAUUUCUAGGGCAACACAGAGUUAGAGCAGAGAAACUGAAGGCCAGGCCAGGCAUGGUGUCUCAUGCCUGUAUUCCCAGUGCUUUGGGAGGCUGAGGCAGGAGGAUCAUUUUAGGCCAGGAGUUCGAGGUUACAGUGAGCUAUGAUCACAGCACUGUACUUCAGCCUGGAAACAAAGAAGGCCACUUCUUUGUUUCCAGACUCAAAGCAAUUUAUUAAUACCAACUGCUUUGUCCUCUGACAUUCCUGUGAUUCCCACUGAGUCACACCUCUGUAUUCACGGUGUUUCAGAAAUUCCCCAGAAUUUACACUGGCAGAGGUGAGGGCAGAGUGAGGGCCUCAUUGCUCUGGACGUUGGCGGGGCUGUCCCUCUUGGGUUUAUCUGAUGUCCACCUUUUAAUCAAUAAUGACUAGCCUAUGACAGGGACAAGGCUCAGGUCUAAUGUCUGGGCUUAUUGGAAGGCUCCUGUUCCUUUUGUUGUCUCUUCCUUCCUCAUUCCCAGAGCUGCUCUGAAUGCAGUGGGGCACCUGCCUUAUCCAGAUGUGCUGCUCACAAAAUGGACAGAAUUCACUGCUCUCUGUGUGCUUUACAACAAAAAAUGUUGAUAAGUUGCUGUUGGGACCCCUUAAAUACACUUCGGGUGAGCAGCGGUUUCCCCUGCCCAUCCCAGGCUGGAUGGAAGUCAUCCCUGCGGAGGGUAAAGCUCAGCCUCAGGGGUCAAUCUGGAUUUCUGUGGGGGCAUCUGAGGAGGCUAUCAGGUUCCCCAAAUGUGAAUUGAGUCCUGGUUCACAUCUUGGGUGCUUCACGUCGUCCCCUUCUCACCGAAGGGGAGAGACAGCUGGCUGUGGCUGGCUUCAUGUCCUAAUUCAACAAAAACAACGCACCUAAGAAAAUGCAUCUAAAUACUUCACAACAUUUCCUCCUCUAUCUGCAGAGGUUGGAGAUGAGCAUAGACAUUACUGAUUUUUGACCCUAUCAAGUGACGCCUGCUUGAGGCACCCUGCAGUACCUGCCAGUGCCUUCAGACCUGGAGCCCCCAUGGAAAAUUUCUGUCUUAUUUCCUGCUACCACCACGAUCCUUUUCUUACUUCUCAAACCCAUCUAAGCCAUAUUGAUAAUAUUUUGUACCAUCAAAUACUUUUUGUAGAAAAGCACUUUUUAUAAACAAAGCACAACUAAACUCAGGGCAAGAGAUGGCUGAACUCAUCACCUGAUAACCCUUCUUUUCCACCUCCUGCCUCCUCCUGCCUCUACCAUGUUGCCUUUUCCACCUCUGUGGCUCAUGACCACACAGGAUGCCAGGCGAGGUCAAAUACAAGGUUGCUAGGAAAAAUCAGACAAGAAAAUUAAGCAAUGGCCAAUUCUUGCCAGAAAACACUGUGAUACCCCUUUGGGUUUUCAUUGCAGGGGUCUUGAGGGCCACCCACACAGGUGACUUAAAUCUUUCACUCUCUUAUCAGUCUCUUGGGAGAGAAUGUGGAUCCACUGGAGUGGAUGUAGGCCAACCCUCUUCUAGAGAAAAGUACAGCCACACUGGAUGGUCAUUAUCAUGGUCCCCAAAGCCUCCAUAGCUGGUCUCCCUGCACCGAUCGUGUGUUUUACACCCGGUCUCCACCACUCAAUGUACCACAUAGGGGUUCAUUGCAUCUGUCACCCCCUGUGUUUUGUCCUUCCUUGUCAUCCUGGGGCUCCUGUGGUGCUGGUUGGUGUAGAUUGUCACUAGCAAGCAAGAAGGCCCCCCCACCCUACUUCUGUCCUGGGGUCACAGCCUGGCUGGCAUUUAGGGCACUUAACUCUUCCAAUGAAUCAUAUUCUCCACUCCUGCACAUAACUUCCUAGCAUGUCUCAGGAGACAUGCUGAACUCUCAGUAAACUGCUUUCGGAGAAUUAUUUAAACACAUGAAUAAGGAUAGAGAGAAAUAUAACAAAUGUCAUACGCCCACAUGGCUUUAUCAGAUCUUAAUAUUUUGCCAUAUUUGUUUCAAGCCUUUAGAAAAAAACACAUAAAACAUUACAGACACAGAUGAAGGCCUCCUUGAUCUCAUUCCCUUUCCCUACUCCUCAGAGAUGCCACAACCUUAAAUUUACUGUGUAUUAAUCUCAAGCCUGUUUUUUAGAUUUUCCUACAGUAUUCAUUCCUAAGUAAUAUAAAGUAUUGGUUUGUAAGUUUUCCAUUUUAUGGAAAUCUGUCCUGUUGUAUCUAUCUUCCUGAAACUCAUGAUUGUUUUUAGAUUUAUCCAUGCAGAUACCUGUUGCUCUAACUCCUUUAACUGCUGUAUAAUACUCAGUCAUAUGAACCUUAUCAGAAUUAAUUUGUCUAUUUUCUGCUGAUUGUUUUUCAGUUCCUUUUCAAUUUUUCACUACAGAUAAUGAUGCAGUGAAUAUUUGUGCACAUGUGUGAGAGGUUCUCCAGUCUGGAUCCAUGCUCUACAUCCUCACCAGCCCAGUAUGAGUUUCUUAUGUUUGCCUUUUGUGUCAACACUUGGUAGUGGCAGACAAAUGUUUUGGCCAGUCUGAUGUGUUGGAGGUUCUGUAGUUGAUUUUGAGUGUCAACUUGGCCGGAAUGUUUCUGUGAGGGUGUUUCUGAUGGGGAUUUACAUUGAAAUUGGUGGGCUUUCAGUAAAGCAGAUUGCCUUCCAGAGCCUGGGCAGGCUUCGUCCAGUCAGUUGAAGGCCUGAAUAGAGUAAAAGGCUGAGCUCCCUGAACAAGAGGAAAUUCUCCAGCAAACUGUUCUUGGGACUUCACCUGCAACAUCAGCUCUUCCUGGGGUCUUCAGCCUGAUGGCCUUUUGACUUGAGCUGUAGCAUUGUCUUCUCUCCGGGUCUCCAGCCUGCCAGCCCAGCAUGCAGAUUUUGGACUUACCAGCUUCCAUAAUCAUGGAAGAGAUAUUAACUCUCAUAAUCAUGGAAGUUAAUUUCUUAAAAUAAAUCUCUUUCUAUAUACAUGUAAAUCCUAUUUGUUUUAUUUCACUGGAGAACCCUAAUACACAGGUGGCAUACUUUUUUGUUUGCUUAUUUCUCUGAUUACUAAGAGGUAAUCAUCUAGUCAAAUGCUCAUUUGCCCUUUGAGCUGCCUUCAUCCAUAACUUGUUCAUGUCUUUUGGUCAUUUUUUCCAUUGACUUGCCAGUGUUCAUGUAUUCUGGAUUCUGGCCUUUGUCAAUUAUAUGACUGCAUUGCAAAUACUGGUUUCUGGCUUGACAUUUAACAUUUUUUAUGAAUAAUUUAAAAAUUUUAAAAUACAAUCCUGCUUACUAAACCAAAUAGUCUGUUAAUUUUUGCAUUAAGGGUCUUUUUGUAUAUAGUUUAAGAAAAUAAUUUCUUACUCUGAGUUCGUAAAGAUAGUCUUCUACAUCUUCUUCUAAAUUAUUUGAAGUUGUUGCUUUUUACACUUAGGUAUGUAAUCAACCAAGGAUUUGUUUUUACAUGUGUGUUGAUAUAAGGAUCUAAUUUUAUUAUUCUUGUAUGGAUAACCUAUUUUUCCUAAGUUAUUUCUUGAACGAGCCCACCCCUUCUUUUUACUAAUCUGUAAUGACUCUUCCGUUAUAUAUGAAAUUUCCACAGAUGCAUAGGUCAGUUUCUGAGUUCUCUAAUUUUCUAUUGAUCUAUUCACUAUCUAUAUAUCGAUAUUGUACUAUGUUAAGUAUUAUAAAUGUAUAAUUAGUCUUGAUGAUUAUCAGCUUGUCAAAUUUCACACACAAAAAAAUCCCCUUCAAGAUUUUGGAUAGAAUUGUAGUGAAUUUAAAGAAUAAUUAGGAGAUGAUAUUGACAUCUUUCCUUCCUUUUUUUUUUUUUUUUUUUUUUUGAGAUGGAGUCUCACACUGUCACCCAGGCUGGAGUGCAAUGGCGCAAUCUUGGCUCACUGCAAACUCCGCCUCCCAGGUUCAAGCGAUUCUCCUGCCUCAGCCUCCCGAGUAGCUGGGAUUACAGGUGCCGGCCACCAAGCCAAGCUAAUUUUUUUAUUUUUAAUAGAGACGGGGUUUCAAUAUGUUGGCCAGGCUGGUCUUGAACUCCUGAUCUUGUGAUACGCCUGCCUCGGCCUCCCAAAGUGCUGGGAUUACAGGCGUGAGCCACCGCGCCCGGCCUGACAUCUUUCUUAAAUCAACACUAGUUUUUCCAUUUAAGAAUGUGGUGAAUCACUCCACUCACUAAUAUUUUCUUUCAUGUCCCUCAGCUGUAUUUCCAAGUUUCCUCUAAAACCAGCCAAAUGAACCAAGAAAAAUCAAAACCAAGCAACGUGCACAUAUUUUGUUUAAUGUAUGCAGAAAGAUCUUAUAGCUUUAGUUGAAAUAUAAGACUCAUUCUCCUGUUAUAUUUUCUAAUUGGUUAUAAUUAAUACAUAUAAAUUGUACCCAAUUUUGUGUAUAUAUAUUCGUUGGACUGUAUUUUCAUUUGAAUAGUUUAUUAGAAAAUUCUCUUGAAUUUUCUAUAUAGAUUAUCAUAUUUCCUGCAGAUAAAAAUAUUCUUGCUUCAUUCUAAAUUCUUAUUCUCCUAUUUCUUUUGCUUGUUUCAUUGCCCUCAGUACGGCUUCCAGGAUACUGAUGAAUAGACAUAUUGACAAUGGACAUCCUCGUCUUGUUACUGAUAUUGAUGGGCAUGCUUCCAAAGUUUCACCAUUAAUUAUAAUGUUUACUAUACACUUUUGAUAGAUAACCUUUAUCACAUUAAGGAAGUUCCUUGCAAUUGCUAUUUUGAGCACUCAGCUCGCUUAAACCUCUCAUGAUUUUGAAAUAAAUUCAUGUCAGGCUAUAAAUUUACCUCUAGAUAUUCUUUCUUUUUUCAACAAGGUCUCACUCUGUGGCCCAGGCUGGAGUGUAAUGGCAUGAUAAUGGCUCACUGCAACCUCCACCUCCUGGGAUCAAGCAGUCCUCCCAACUCAGUCUCCCAAGUAGCUGGGACCACAGGCACCCACCACCACACCUGGCUAAUUUUUUGUAGAAACAGGGUUUUGCAUUGUUGCCCAGGCUGGUCUCAAACUCCUCAAAUUUCUGUUGUAAUUUCUUCUUCAGCCUAUUAGUUACUAGGGAGUGAAUUUUUUAGUUCCCACAUAUAUGAGUUUGAGACUGUAUUUUAGUAUUGACUUCUAAUUUAAUUGGGUUGUGUUUAGAGAAUAUGAUCUGUGUUAUUUGAUGAUUCUAGAUAUUUGUUGAGUUCUUUGUGACCUAGUAUGUGGUCAAAUUUUUAAAUAAUCUGUAUAUCACCAACUGUUUUUAAAUGAUCUAUGAUGACCAUUUAUGUUUGGCCGCAAAGUUUUACACACACACACCCAUUAGAUAAUGCUUGUUACUUUUGUUUUUCAAAUCUUUUAUAACCUAGUACUUUUUAAAUUGCUUGAUUUAUCAACUUUUGAUAAAGUUAAAUGGGUUGUAAUCUUAGACUUGUAGUUCUGUCAAUUUGCUUACUAUAUUUUGAGGUGCGUGUAUGUUAGACACAUACAUAUACAUUUGGGCCUGUGACAGCUUCUGAGUCGGUUGGUGCCUUGAUUAUUAUAUAGUCUCUCUCCUAUUAUAAUCUGUCUGCUAUUGCUAGCAUUUAAAUAGUGUAUAUUUUUCCAUUCCUUUAUUUUCAGCCUGUGUGAUUUCAUCUUAGAUGGUAUCUUGGAAGCAAGACCUACCUGGACUUUUUAGAAAUCUAAUCUAAUCAUUUUCUGUCUUGGAGUAGAGGAGUAGUCGACUAUGUCGUUGUUAUUCCCAAAGAUGGAAGACAGAAUCAUCAGAAAUUACAGUGACAGGGGUUUCUGCUCGGUAGUAUGCCGAAAAGGUAAGGUCCAAACCCUCAGUCUCGCUUUCAAGGCCCUCCAUGACCCGCAACUCCCCUCCUCCUCCUCCUUUUCUUUUCUAAGCUUUUUCUUAUUAUUGCCCUGCCCAGGGCCUGCACCCACCAACUGUUCCUAGUAUCAUUGGUUGAUGAUACCAUGAACGAUGAACCGUGGGGCUGGCCUUCUCUCCAGCUCAGAACACACUUGCUUUAGCUCAAGACUGUCCAACCCAAGCCCGCAGGAUGCACGUGGCCCAGGACAGCUUUGAAUGUGGGCCAACAUAAAUUCAUAAAUUUUCUUAAAGCAUUAUGAGACUUUUUGCUAUUAUUUUUGUUGUUCUUCAUCAGCUAACAUUAGUGUUAGUGUAUUUUACGUGUGGCUCAAGACACUUCUUCUUCCAAUGUGGCCCAGUGAAACCAAAAGGUUGGACAUCCCUGCAGUCUUUAUGCUCGUCUAAAUGUCCACUUCCUUCAGGCCCCAAUGUGUCCCAGCUCCUCUAAGAAGCCUUCCUUGGGUUCCCACUCCCUUGGAACUUUUCUCUUCUGACCCCUCCCCUAGCCUACGUUGGUCCCCCACUCACUCAUCCUCUGGGCCAGUCAUUUGGCACACAGUACACGUUGUGUUUCUGUGGAAGCCCUAUGGGGAGAGAAUGGGUUGUGGGGGCCAGGAUCUGGAAGCUUCCAGUGGAUGAAGAGGAUGUCAGUGCUACUACCAGGUAGGAAGGCUCCGGAUUACUAAGAACCAAAGAGGUGGUGUUCCAGGGGUCAAGGAGAGAGAGAGCCCAGAGUGUGCAGGCCACUCAGAAUACGCAGGGGAAGAGCAGGAUUUGAUUCAGGAGCCGGUGGGACCCCAGGAGAAGACAGGGAGACUAAACUGUCACCCUCCACCACAGGGAGUUGAAAGGCACAAGUGCGGACAAGAGGAUCAAUCAAAGCUCCGUUCUGUUCCCAAUCCUUCCAGUCCCGAUGCUCCAGAGAGCAGGGGAGGCACCUGUACACAGGUACUGGGCAUGAUUGAUGAGGCAGUGCCCAGGAGCCCAACUUCCUCGAAGCGAGAGAAAGGACAGAGAUGCUAAGAUCUGCACACUUCCACAUUUUAGAGAAUUUGGGAGACCCAUGUUGGAUGUGGACCGUGGUUCUUAUUUGUAUUAUUUUCUGAGUGGUAGAUGUGCUUAAUCCCAGCACCUGCCUAAACUGAUGACAACAGCGGCUUUCCUACUGGAAGGACAUUGCCACUUGAUAGCAUAUGCUGUACCUCGCUUGCAUGUCCCUGCUUCCAAGCUUUGGGGAUUUCUAGGAUUGUUUUCUCCUAGUUUCCUUGUGUCACGUGGGCUCCUUUAUAAAAUAUCCCCAUAUAAUAGUGCAUGAUGUGCUCUAUUACAAAACACAGAUGUGUCUGUCCAAGACAGCCUGGGGGCAGCGAGCUGGGGCGUGGCAAGGAGACGAACUGGAAUGACGGGAGAGCCCUAGUGGAUGCACAGUGCACCGCUCUUACACCACAAGCCUCCCGCCCCAGCAUGAUUUAACCCGUGAAGAAAGCAGAGCAUUUAAUAUGUUCUACAGAUGUUUUAAAAAAAGAAUAACGGCGCUUGUCCCAAGUGUGGGAUGGAGGCACACACUCUUCUGAGAUGUGAAGCAAAUUUCAUAUCUCAAAAGAGAAAAAGGACAACAGUUCCUGCUCAGUCACCAAGUCUGAUUCUCAACCCUGGAACGCCUCAGCCUGCCUGAGCCCAGAAAUGAGGCUCCUUGUGAACACUAUGGAAAUGCAAUGGCUGUUUUGAUUUUCCAUAACGGACAGCACACUGGUCCGGGAGGCAUAUCCAAUCUAAAUGAACUAGCAUCUGUGAAACUUCCUAGCACAGUCCCAGCACAUCGCAGGAGCUGAACUAAUGUUCUUUUCCCUUCCCAAGGAACCCUGAAGCCUUUGAAGGAACCGUGAUUGGGAAGGCAUCAACAUUUGCUUUUCGCUGGUAUAAAUUUGGACCACUGGUCUGCCCGGGGUGUCCCCUGCCAGUGGUCGUGGACUGCUAGGGAAGCACAGCACACCCCC